UACGUAGGGUGCGAGCGUUAAUCGGAAUUAUUGGGCGUAAAGGGUGCGUAGGUGGGAUUAUAAGUUAGUUGUGAAACCCUGGGCUUAACCUGGGGCGGUCAACUAAGACUGUAGUUCUUGAGUAGCUUAGAGGGUAGUGGAAUUUCCGGUGUAGCGGUGAAAUGCGUAGAGAUCGGAAGGAACACCAGUGGCGAAGGCGUCUACCUGGAGGCAUACUGACACUGAGGCACGAAAGCGUGGGGAGCGAACAGG
rnacentral:rRNA from 1 species